rnacentral:rRNA from 1 species
GGACCAUUCCACGGUUUCCGCGCCGCAGCUAACGCAUUAAGUGCCCCGCCUGGGGAGUACGGCCGCAAGGCUAAAACUCAAAGGAAUUGACGGGGGCCCGCACAAGCGGCGGAGCAUGCGGAUUAAUUCGAUGCAACGCGAAGAACCUUACCAAGGCUUGACAUGUUCUCGAUCGCCGUAGAGAUACGGUUUCCCCUUUGGGGCGGGUUCACAGGUGGUGCAUGGUUGUCGUCAGCUCGUGUCGUGAGAUGUUGGGUUAAGUCCCGCAACGAGCGCAACCCUCGUUCCAUGUUGCCAGCACGUCGUGGUGGGGACUCAUGGGAGACUGCCGGGGUCAACUCGGAGGAAGGUGAGGACGACGUCAAAUCAUCAUGCCCCUUAUGUCUUGGGCUUCACGCAUGCUACAAUGGCCGGUACAAUGGGUUGCGAUACUGUGAGGUGSWGCUAAUCCCAAAAAGCCGGUCUCAGUUCGGAUUGGGGUCUGCAACUCGACCCCAUGAAGUCGGAGUCGCUAGUAAUCGCAGAUCAGCAACGCUGCGGUGAAUACGUUCCCGGGCCUUGUACACACCGCCCGUCAAGUCACGAAAGUCGGUAACACCCGAAGCCGGUGGCCUAACC